AACAACAACAACCUGCGACUGGAUUGCUUGGAGGUGGCGGUUUAGACUGCUAUGAGCCAUAUAACCCCGUGUUAGGCUGAAGAGCGCUUAACGCUUUUUUUAUUUUAGUUUGUUGUGUUUGGUACGUCGGACGCGGGUAGACUGGUUAGCAGUUGAGCUGCAUGUGGGCGUACUGAAGACUAGGGUUGAGAUGAUUAGUUGUUUAUGUAUUAGUUAGAUACGGGGUGGCUUUUCCCUCAUGCAGUUGAAGUGUAACCAGUUGGAUCGCUCUUUCCCUCUGCUGUGGCACAGAAGAACCCUGGUGUGCCCAAACUCUUUUUUUCUGAGCUGCCCACAUCGACUACAUGUGUGGGCCUACUGUUUUCGAACAUGUUUCUGUGGAGGGGGCAGCACUUGUUUCCGGGCUAAAAACUCUUCCUCUUCCUCCACAAAGUUGUUCUACUCAAAGGUUCUCUUGUGAUCUGCAUGUGACAAAGUUAAUGAGAGAGCGCUCUCUCUGCAACAGCGUCUCUAUGCUGUAACACAAGCUGUGAGGAAUGGAUGGAGAGGUCCCUGCGAUACCUCUCUGUGUGUGACCGGUUCUGGGGUACCACCAC